rnacentral:rRNA from 1 species
CUGCAGUCGAACGGCAGCACGGGGGCAACCCUGGGGGCGGGGGGCGAACGGGGGAGGAAUGCACCGGAACGUAUCUUCAAGUGGGGGAUAACGCAUCGAAAGGGGUGCUAAUACCGCAUAAUCUCUGAGGAGAAAAGCAGGGGAUCGCAAGACCUUGCGCUUUUGGAGCGGCCGAUGCCUGAUUAGCUUUUUGGGGAGGUAAAAGCUCACCAAGGCUUCGAUCAGUAGCUGGUCUGAGAGGACGACCAGCCACACUGGGACUGAGACACGGCCCAGACUCCUACGGGAGGCAGCAGUGGGGAAUUUUGGACAAUGGGGGCAACCCUGAUCCAGCCAUGCCGCGUGAGUGAAGAAGGCCUUCGGGUUUUAAAGCUCUUUCAGCCGGAACGAAACGGUCACGGUUAAUACCCGUGACUACUGACGGUACCGGAAGAAGAAGCACCGGCUAACUACGUGCCAGCAGCCGCGGUAAUACGUAGGGGGCGAGCGUUAAUCGGAAUUACUGGGCGUAAAGCGUGCGCAGGGGGUUUUUUAAGUCAGAUGUGAAAUCCCCGGGCUUAACCUGGGAACUGCGUUUGAAACUGCAAGGCUAGAGUGUGGCAGAGGGGGGGGGAAUUCCGCGUGUAGCAGUGAAAUGCGUAGAGAUGUGGAGGAACACCGAUGGCGAAGGCAGCCCCCUGGGUCAACACUGACGCUCAGGCACGAAAGCAUGGGGAGCAAACAGGAUUAGAUACCCUGGUAGUCCAUGCCCUAAACGAUGUCAACUAGUUGUCGGGUCUUAACGGGCUUGGUAACGUAGCUAACGCGUGAAGUUGACCGCCUGGGGAGUACGAUCGCAAGAUUAAAACUCAAAGGAAUUGACGGGGAU